rnacentral:lncRNA from 1 species
AUGUUCAGAGGAGACAUCAGAAUAACAAGAAAUAAUCUGUGUGUUCUCACUUUUCUGCGUUGGGACUCAGUAGUCAUGUCUAUGUUAUGUGAUGCAGGCCCCUGCCCAGGACUGGGGAAUCCCAGCUUACGACGGGUCGAUCCGGACGUAGCCCCAGAAGUCAAAGAACAUCUGUACUCUUGGAAGUCACUCUCAUUGGAGACUUCAGGAAAAUAGCAAACAGUUGCUUACAUCGUUCUAAACAUGUUAUCAGUAUUGAUUAAAUUAAAUUCAGUACAGGAUGCUUUCCUACUGCAAAGAUAUAAGCCAAAUGGUCUGUCAGUUUUGGGGUGGUUUGCUUCUCCUGCUUUGAUUCUCUUCUGCAUUGUCAGGAGAGCCGAUAAAAUUAUUUGCCUUUCUCCCUCCCGUAGGUGUACCUACCCCAGCCUACUGUAUACCGUUUCCAGUAGGUGACUUUGUUCCCAGCGGGCCUCAAUAGCAUCGAGUCUCAACAGAAGGAAGAGCAGCGCCACCUACUGGGCACAGACUCCCAAGCUUUUUUUUUUUUUUUGAGACCGAGUUUCUCUCGUUACCCAGGCUGGAGUGCAAUGGCGCAAUCUCGGCUCACCGCAACCUCCGCCCCCUGGAUUCAGGCAAUUCUCCUGCCUCAGCCUCCUAAGUAGCUGGGAUUACAGGCACGCACCACCAUGCCCAGCUAAUUUUUUGUAUUUUUAGUAGAGACGGGGUUUCACCAUGGUGACCAGGGUGGUCUCGAUCUCUUGACCUCAUGAUCCACCCGCCUCGGCCUCCCAAAGUGCUGGGAUUACAGUCUUGAGCCACCGCGCCCGGCCCUCCCAAGCUUUUUGAGUAUUUACUCCUGUUCUUGAGAGACAACCUUCUUGUUAGAGGAGUCUCAUCACAGAAUCCAAGUGACACAAUCUGAAUCCCCAUGACAUUCUGGAAGAAUCUGGAAGAAUUAAAUGUCCCAGCAUUAGCUGCAUGGGGCUUCUGAGGUUGCUUCUAAAGGGAAACAGACUUUUAGUAAAAUACGCUUCUCCAAUAACACGUUCAUUAUUCUCCAGGUUUAUAAAGCCUACCGGACAGUUAGUCAGGCUUUGAGAGCAUUUUGGAAGGACCUUGAGUUUUUCUGAAUAAGGAACCAUAUGCUCUAAAAAUCUACAACCUUAUUUAAA